CGCUGGCGGCAUGCCUAACACAUGCAAGUCGAACGAGAUUUUCGGAUCUAGUGGCGCACGGGUGAGUAACGCGUGGGAACCUACCUUUUAGUACGGGACAACGUUUGGAAACGAACGCUAAUACCGUAUACGCCCUCCGGGGGAAAGGUCAGCCGCUGAAAGAGGGGCCCGCGUCUGAUUAGCUUGUUGGUAAGGUAAUGGCUUACCAAGGCUACGAUCAGUAGCUGGUCUGAGAGGAUGAUCAGCCACACUGGGACUGAGACACGGCCCAGACUCCUACGGGAGGCAGCAGUGGGGAAUAUUGGACAAUGGAGGCAACUCUGAUCCAGCAAUGCCGCGUGUGUGAUGAAGGCCCUAGGGUUGUAAAGCACUUUCAACGGUGAAGAUGAUGACGGUAGCCGUAGAAGAAGCCCCGGCUAACUUCGUGCCAGCAGCCGCGGUAAUACGAAGGGGGCGAGCGUUAUUCGGAAUUAUUGGGCGUAAAGGGCUCGCAGGCUGCUUGAACAGUUAGACGUGAAAUCCCCGGGCUCAACCUGGGAACUGCGUUUAAUACUAGCAAGCUAGAGAAAUAGAGAGGAAAGUGGAACUCCCAGUGUAGAGGUGAAAUUCGUAGAUAUUGGGAAGAACACCAGUGGCGAAAGCGACUUUCUGGCUAUUUUCUGACGCUGAGGAGCGAAAGCGUGGGGAGCAAACAGGAUUAGAUACCCUGGUAGUCCACGCCGUAAACGAUGUGUGCUAGAUGUUGGGAGGUUACCUUUCAGUGUCGUAGCUAACGCACUAAGCACACCGCCUGGGAAGUACGGU
rnacentral:rRNA from 1 species